UACGAAGGGGGCUAGCGUUGUUCGGAAUGACUGGGCGUAAAGGGCGCGUAGGCGGCCGAGUAAGUCAGGCGUGAAAGCCCCGGGCUCAACCUGGGAACGGCGCUUGAUACUGUUUGGCUUGAGGACGGGAGAGGAUGGUGGAAUUCCCAGUGUAGAGGUGAAAUUCGUAGAUAUUGGGAAGAACACCGGUGGCGAAGGCGGCCAUCUGGACCGUUUCUGACGCUGAGGCGCGAAAGCGUGGGGAGCAAACAGGAUUAGAUACCCUGGUAGUCCACGCUGUAAACGAUGUGUGCUAGACGUUGGGGGGUUACCCUCCGGUGUCGCAGCUAACGCGUUAAGCACACCGCCUGGGGAGUACGGCCGCAAGGUUA
rnacentral:rRNA from 1 species